UACAGAGGUCCCGAGCGUUGUUCGGAUUCACUGGGCGUAAAGGGUGCGUAGGUGGUGGGGUAAGUCAGGUGUGAAAACUCUAGGCUCAACCUAGAGACGCCACCUGAUACUGCUGUGGCUAGAGUCCGGUAGGGGAGCAUGGAAUUCCUGGUGUAGCGGUGAAAUGCGUAGAUAUCUGGAGGAACACCGGUGGCGAAGGCGGCAUCCUGGACCAACACUGACACUGAUGAGCGAAAGCCAGGGGAGCAAACGGG
rnacentral:rRNA from 1 species